ACGUAGGGUGCAAGCGUUAAUCGGAAUUACUGGGCGUAAAGGGCGCGUAGGCGGCCUGUUAAGUCGAACGUGAAAUCCCCGGGCUCAACCUGGGAACUGCAUCCGAGACUGCAUUGCUAGAGUAUGGGAGAGGGAAGCGGAAUUUCUGGUGUAGCAGUGAAAUGCGUAGAUAUCAGAAGGAACAUCAGUGGCGAAGGCGGCUUCCUGGACCAAUACUGACGAUCAGGUGCGAAAGCGUGGGGAGCAAACAGGA
rnacentral:rRNA from 1 species